UUAUUUCAAGUGGGGUCCACUUGGUGAGAGAAAAAUAAAGGGUAUUCUCAAAGUUAAAAAUAGUUGUGGGGACCACUUGCGUUGGUAGAUUUAUGAGAGGGAGUGUAUUUAAGAUAAAAAAAGGGGUACAUGAAAAAGUGUGUUUUAUUAUAUGUUGUGAUUUUAGUAAAAGGCGGGUGCACUAGAAAUAUUGGUUCUAGUGGAUGGAAGGGUGAGAUUAAUAAUUUCACGGGGGUGCGCCAGUAGGAAAAUAAUUAAAUUUAUUUUAUUGUGAAAAAUUUAUUGAUUUAAUUAUUUGAGUAUUUUUAACUAAUUGUUGGUCAAUGAAUUUGGUUGACUUUGUAUAUGCGGG
rnacentral:lncRNA from 1 species